rnacentral:rRNA from 1 species
GACGAACGCUGGCGGCGUGCUUAACACAUGCAAGUCGAGCGGUAAGGCCCUUUCGGGGUACGACGAGCGGCGAACGGGUGAGUAACACGUGGGUGACCUGCCCUCAGCUCUGGGAUAAGCCGUGGGAAACCGGGUCUAAUACUGGAUAUGACUCCAUGACGCAUGUUGUGGGGUGGAAAGCCUUGUGCGGCUGAGGAUGGGCCCG